GUUUAAUAAAAAUCAAAUAAAAGCAAUUAUAUGAAUUUUCAAGAGGAUCACCUCUUCCUUCCCUGAGGUAUGAAGCAGAAUGAAUUCAGGAAAUCAUUUGAAUCAGAAGCUUGAGCUGCACAACACAGCCAGUGUUUGCUGUACAAAGACAAACAGACAUCUCUUCCCAGGCUAGCAGUCUGCUUGCUGGGGCUGUCCGAGUGGAAAUUCCACCUAUGGGCAAAGGAGGGUAAUUAAAGAAGCACAAGAAUUUCCUUGUAGUAGUUCUGGCUCUUCUGCUCCAGAGAAGCCUUCAUCUUUUCAAGUAUUCAUGCUCUUCUUUAUUUAUGCAAGAAGAAAUUGGACACAGUGAAACACUCAGAGCUGCCACAGAUCUCUGUAAGCAAAUAUAUGUGAAUUGAUACCCAUUAACAUUAACAACUUGCUCCUCUGCUCUCAGAGGGCCAGGUUUACCGAUUUCCUCUACCUUACGCAGUCAUUCAGGUUAAUAGAGAGUAUUUGCAAAGCACCAUCAAGUAGGACCAAUCCUGAAAUAUUCGCCUUUACACUUUCCAGUUGGAAAAUGCACUUUGAGUGAAAUGCAAACUUUAUUGUAAGAAUGUGUUGCUUUCAAUGCCAUUUUAAAAGGCAGAGAGCAGAAAUGCAUUAUAUCAAUAUUCUCAUUUACUCUGAUAAGAGGAAAACUUUUCGUGCUGACUUCCUUUCAGUUGCUUUUGUUUUUAAUAUAAUGGUAAAGUAAGUAUUGCAAUACUGGUGCUACUGUUUAAAAUUUGAUAAGCAUGGUUAUACAAAUUUUUUACAAGAAAUCUACAGUGUGCCCACUUUCUCUCUCAGAUUCAGAAUGAAAACAAGUUCUGAAGUAAAAAUCUUACUGUUAGAUUAAAAUAUAUAGCAAGGUUAGACACUGCUUGGAAGUCAGAUGCAGAGGAACUUCAUUGCCUUCAAAAGAGAAACUUCUGCUUCCUGCCAUGUUCCAGGAGAGCAGAGGUAUGUUCUUCAUAUUAUAAAGCACUGGUAGAUGGUAGCUAAAUAUUUUAAAGGAGCUGAUUUUACUCUGCUUAACUGAUAUUUAUACAAUGCUUUGACCUCUGCAAAAGGAGGACAGCUAAAGUUGGAUGGAAGAAGUGGAAGUCAGACACUGUGACCAGGUGCCAUAUUUUCACUGUGAAUGUAUCACUGCCUUGUACUCUUGGUCAAAUCAUUUAGGGUUUGAAUCGGUCUUACAGGCUUUGGUCCUUACAUAUCUCAUGUAAUCACUUCUUCUGUGAGCCAGAUUCUUGCUCUGAAAUCUAACUCUCCGUGGCUGAUCUUUAGCAGCCCAUCAAUUAGUAGAGCAGACACUGACUUAAAAUGUAACAACAAUUUUGACUCUAGUCAAAACAAUGUAAAUGGAAAAACAUAGCAAUGCCAGAAUAACACCCAAUGAGGUAGAAAAAUAGGGAGAAAAAAACCUCUGAUCCUAAUCUUGCAACAAAUUGUAUGCAAAUACUGCCUCAGGAGAGCUUUUGGGCUGUGAGAUUUUUCCUGUUAAAUAUUUUGUAGAAUUUGGGCCUUAAUUUUAUGUCACAGAAGCAGAGAAAAACAGUGGAGAGGGGUUUAUAUCUGUACCUACUGAUGCCAUAUAAGAUUCAUGGUUCAGUUCCCCUGAAAAGAAAAGCAACAGGUUUCUUGUUAUCUAUCUUUUAUAAUACUUGGAAUAUAAGUGCUGUUGUGCCAGACUGCCAGUUAUUUGGCACACAUUACCGCCAGAGAAAUGCCUCAGAACUGAGAAAUGCAGGUUCUUCAAAUUAAAAGAGGAAAAAUAAUCUCACUGCAGGUGUCUUAAAUAUUUCAGGAGGUACAUGAAUUCCACUCUGGCAAGCUGUGUCUUUCACGUACCUAUAAAAAAGCAAAAUGAUUGGUCAUACAUUUAAGAGUCAUUGCCAACUACCAUUUUCUCCAGAUCAAUUCAAAACAAGAUAGGAUGGAUGUUUGAUACCAGGUUAAGGGAGUAUUUUUUGUUUGUUUGUUUGUUUUUGCUCAUUUGCUUUUUUUCAACUUUAUCUUCGGAGAGGCGGGUUCUGGUUUUCACUUCCCCACUCUGCAGAGCCUCCAGUCAUUGAGAAGUGACUCUAGUCAUUGAAGGGGGCAAGUCUGAGUAGAGGACAGGCGCAUUAUCAGACAUUGCCCAUAGUUUUCUUUUACCUGUGAAUAUGACAAAACAUACAGCAGCAUGAGAAUGUGUACAUUCUCCCCACCGAGAUUUAUUUUAGAAAAGAUGCCUUUUGAUUUCAGGACUUUGAUAGGUUACCCAGUACUUCCCUGAUCUAACCUUCAAGUCCUAUCAAGACAGUAUAGUGUUUGAGGUGUCAUUGCUAACCUCUGCAUUCCCCACAAGACUGUAAAGUCUGAACAAAAAUAAUUCUGAAAGUCUUCAUUGAGUUUUAUUCAGUAUUUAAACUAUUCCCCGUAACAGUAGCCCGAUAAUGUACAUCAUACAUCCUUUCUCCUGGGUUUGGGAUUCUUCCAGGUUUUUAAAGUUGAAGUCUAGGUAGUAUUUAGAGCUCUUAAAAGUAAUUCUACAUUUUGGGACUCUUUUUGCUCUAGCUACCAGAUAGGAUCUAACUGCUACAUGCCAGCUGCCAAACGAAAAGAAAUCCAGAAAGGGAAUAUGGAAAAGUGGGGUUGGUAUAAAGAAUUUCAUCAAAUGUCAGGAAGCCAUUAAUUCAGGACAAACUUGCUAUAUGUUCCUCUGCUUUGUUUAAAACAAAGCACUGACAAAAAAUGUAGACUUACGUACAAUAACAGGAAAUCAAACAGAUACUAUUCCAGCAUGUGUAGUGGAAAAUGCGUAUGUAUAGAAAUUAAAUAAAAGAAAAUCCUUCAGCUAAAAAAAGACACUUAAAAGAUGACUUUUCAGCUUUUAAAGUUUAGAAGGCAAGAUAGAGUGGAACAAGUGUGAUUCUGCUUGAGAUAAUAGGAUAAUUCUUCCUCUUUAAAGGAACAAGCCUAGCAAGCAAACAAACACUCACAACUGUCUGUAAUCAUAUAUCGUGAUGCAGCAAAUAGGCAAUAGCUGCCUGGCUGUGGCUCACAUGAGGGAUGAAGCCAAUGGGCUUUGUCUGCUCUGUAGAGGGAAAACUUUACAGUGAGUUUGUGGAGGUUAGCAAGGACAGUACACUCAGGUGGUUUAGCCUACAUUUAAAUGAGAAUGACUCAGCACAGUGAUUUAAAAUACACCUGUACUGUGGCUGGCUUGUUGGAACAGGGCACCUGCCAGUUCAGCUCACGAGUCAGGAACAGGUUCAGGUACAGGUUCUGGUCAUGUAUUUGCCAUGGAUUUUUGAGCAAAUCCCAUUGCCUAGAUUUCCAAGAAUAUCUUCCAUUCCUAGAUGUUCUGGUAGCAAAUAUUCAGCAAAGGACACCUUCGUGUGUCCCAACAGUCAGCACCAAGUUGCCAUUUGUGUCAGAAUUGCUCAUGCUAGGAUCUCAGACCAAUCAGUUCAUUACACAAACACCUCUUGUGAUACAUAUCAAUAAGCAUAUAUUUGUAUUUAUUUAGAUCAACUUAUAUUUAACAAUAUUUUUUCAUAUUGUUCAUGCAGACCAAAAGAAUCACACAGAAGUAGGAAAUAGGCCCACUGUUAACUGCAGGUGUUUUCAUGCUCAUGCUAUCAACUUGAGACACCAUGGACAUGACUUUCAGAAAGGACAACCUUCCAACUCUUCUUGCGAAGGAAUCUGAAUGUCAGCUGUACCACCAAACUGCUUUUGCAAAUCUGAUGAACCAAAACACUUCUCAUAAAUUAGGCAUUUUUUUCCUGCCUGAGUAAGCAUAUUUGUGUGGCAUGUGAAGAAGCACCAAGUCUGAGGGACCUUGCUGGAUUGAAGGCUUACUCAGUCUGUGUAGUCAUGAUGCUGGAAGCAAGUAUUUAUGAUACGAGCUGCCACUAGACAUAAACAUCUGAAAGACCUUUGGUCCUGCAUUAACAAAAAUUAAAGCACUAACUUAGCCUCACAAUGCUGCUGUACAACAAAAACAAGCCAAAAUAAAUUCCCUACAGACAGAUGGACAAUUCCCUACAGACAGAUAACCCAACUCAGCUGCUUUCCAGUCCUGAACACAAACCCUGUAUUUAAAGAAUUUUAGACACCCUCUACCCAUUACCUGAGGAACAGAUGAAUUUAUUGUAAAACUAAAGGAAAUUAAUUCAACAGAUCACUGUUUUAGCAACGUUUAUUUAUUUAUUAUCAGAAGGAGUACAGUUAGUUGUGUGAAAUCCUCCUGUACUCCUUCAAGAUUCUCAGUGCAUUAACAAACAUGUUUCCGCAAAUCCAAAAGUUUAAGAUGAUGCUUUGCUUUCUUUAAUCUCUAUCAGGCAUGGAUACAGACAUUCUUAACACCAUAGGAAAUAAAAAAAAAAAUCCUGAAAAUAUGUCCAUUCUUAGAAAUGAAGUAGAAAAUAGUCACUAUACAAGGUAGCUUCUCUUGUUUAAUUGGACGCCAGCAAUUAAAAUCUGCUUUUAACAUAACUUUUGUAUCACUAGAUUUGUUCAGUUUUUAUCAUAUAGUUUUAUGUUUUGUUUUAAUUUAGCUUUGAUUUUUUUUAAAGUGUCUUCAAAGAAAUGACUAAAAGAAAACAACACCUGAACGAUAUGGAAUGUGCUGGGGCAUAAUGAAAGUAGUUGCCAUGUAUGUGGAGUUUUUUGAUCCACGUAUAUAGACUUAGGUUUACAUAAAUAACUGUGUGGCUGUGUGUCCCCCAAAUCCUCUUAAAGCUGUGUUGUAAAUCCCAAGGAAGCUCCCCUUUGUGUCUUGUCUUUAGGUAUUUGGCCUCGGUAGCUUAAAGCUCUUGUACUGGCUCUUGGUUGCAACGGUCCUGAGGAAGCUGUGUAUGAGUAAGCAAUCCUGCAGAGGUGCUGUGUGGGCCAACAAGAACACCUGCAAUGAGGUGGCACAGGGAAGAAUAUUUCUGCUUAAGCACAAGUCAGGUUGGUGCCUUCCCAGUGGAUGCAAGUGUCAUGAGUGCAGGUAUCACCCAUAAAAGGAGCAUGUGGCUGAAGGGAUUAAAACCUCACACAGUGUGUUUUGGAGCAGCCAGCUUUUAGUGUGAAACAUCUAGUUGGUGCUCCAUGUCACAGCUCUCUGUCAUACUGCCCACUGAGCAGGACCUGUGAGCCCAGCAUGGCACAGUAGGGCUGCUCAGGGAGCUGUACGGUGGCCAAUGAGGCUGAACACCAGCUACGCUGCUUGUCUGCAUGCCUCGCAGUGAGAUGCAUGCUGUGUGUUUGCAAAGCUCCCUUUCCUUCUGCGGCUGCAGUUGUUAAGGAGCACUGAACUGCCCAGGCCCCUCCAUGCCCGCCAAGCAGAGGCUUGCUCAUCCCUGCAGCACAGAGCAGAGGGAAGCCCUGAGACCUGCAGUGCAGGGUGGGUGGGGAAAGCCAGGAUAGAAGGCAGGGAGUAUUUGAGCAUUAGCAAUGACCUACCAUGAAAACCAAUUUUUUUUUUUUAAUUUUUAAUUAUUAUUAUUCUAACUGAUAAGAGAGUCUGAAAGAAGUUGUACCCAGGCAUGACAGUUCUGUUUGAUGAUAAAAUGGUAUCCCCUCUCCAGUUACUCAUGCAAAAAUGUCUGUUUUUAUUUAAGAAGUGUGCACUCCUGAGCCUCCUCCUCCUUUUCUUCCCCACUAGGUUACAUGACUGACACUUUUGCCAUGACAAAUCCAUGAGUGUUUUAAAAAUUUACCAUGAAAACCCUGGAGCUUUAAUUAUUGUGCAUUUACAUAAUUAGUGCAAAUACAUGCAAUUACCAUGUGUACCUACACAAUUACCAGCUACAAUGAUGUACUAACAAUCCUUAUUAAACUUUGGUGGGGGAGGGCCGUGUUGAUUGUAUGCGCGAGGAACAUCUGUAGCCCAGUCCUCCUUUUCUCUCCCUUGCUGGAAGCAACCAUGUGUUUAGGGAUAGGGGUUGGUGUGCUGGGAACAGUGACAUGCUGGAAGUAGGUCAGUCAGCUGUCCAAAUCGGACUUCUAGGAGGUGAAAACACAGGAUGGAUAUUCCCAGUAAUGUUCCUAGGACAUAGUUUCUGCAGUUAGUGCAAUGCCAUCAAUACUUGAUUACCCAUGGGUUAAUUAUCCAAAUUGCGAGGUAACUGUGCUGCAUCAGUUAUGUGUAUCUUUGCUCACAUCUGCAGUUCACCUGAGUGGAAUCCCCCAGUUUCUGUCACAGCUGUACUUCUCUUGUCUUGAACCUGCAAGAGUCUACAUAAAGUGAGUCCUCUUGAUGUGACUUUGUGCCUUGUGGUGGCUUCAGGUGUCUACCUGAAUAUCUACUACAAGCGUUUCCAAAUGACUUAUUUAUCUUGAUUAAUCUUCUGCAAAGAAAAAAUGUUCCAGCUCACAAACACCCCCCUCUUGCAAAACUUAUGCUCUCUGUUUUACAGAAAUGGUUCAGUGUAAAAAUUCAUAGGAUCAUUAAAGUUGGAGAAGAUUUCUAAGGUCAUCAUGUCCAACCAUCACUUCUGUUGUUUCGUGGACAAUGGAAUAGAGCAAGUGAUGCAUUAAGGACUGUACCUUUUCCUAUUGUUUCCACUUUUGCCCUUAUUCUGGUCCUCAGCAGCAAGGAAUUGCCUGUGGUACAUCUGAGAGAGCCUUGCAACAAAACUCCUCGCUGCUCCCUCUCCUCUAGAUAGUGCCUCAUGUAGGAAGGAAAAUGGUCUGCCGCCCGUUUAUUUCUUUUGCCUCAUGAAACACAGCUCAGGCUUUUUGCGUGUAAGCCUAUGGAGCGUAUGGUUGUACAGAAGAGCCUGCUUUUUGGUUGUGUUUGUUCGUUGCUUAUUUUUUUAGCCUAUUCUCACAGUAGAAAGCCAUCAUGUCUGUUAAAACAGUGAAAAAUUGAGAGGCUAAUUGUUGCUGCUAAAUGCAAUAAAGUAGUACUUUGGGUUUUCAGGCAUGUUUUAUGACCAAUAUGGCAAUUACUGAAUAAAAUCCCACGUCCUGGAAUGUUUAUUUGUGUAAACAACUUAUGGUUAUUUAUUCAUAUUUUUUGAAUUUUUUUUUUUGAAAUUGUAUUAACCAUCCCUUGUGGUACCAAAUACAGUUGGUUAGGGAAAAAAAAAAUUGAUGCCACAUGCUAAAUGGAAGGGUCCAUUGAGAAUCUAGUCCUGAAUGUAUUUAAGGCUCUGUUUUAUUCGGCAUGAUUAGCUGUGUUACAAGCCACCAUUAUGUUCUGGCAAGCUCUGUCUGAUUUGAAGCAGUCCUCGCUCUCCUCACAGUAACAUUUUACUUGCUGGUCUAUUUCCAUGCUGGUGGGCUGGCUUGGGGCUACCUCUCACAUAAACUCAGACCAGGGUUCAACCAAGAUGCUCUCCAGCUGGUGCUGGUGGCAUUUGACAUCUUUUCUUCAUGAUUGGGUCAUGUAAGAGCUGAAGACAAGGGGAGAAACAGAAGUAGAUCUUGGACCUCAGCAUGCAUGCUCUACAAAUGGCUGCAUUUGUUGUUCUUUAAAUCUCAUGAUCUUUUGCAAUUAAAAUUCAUACCUUCCCUGAAGUUAAAGCUUGUAUAAAGUUUUGUAUUCUUUUUCACUUUUUCCUCCCGAAUCUGUAUGAUACAGCUUAAAAAAAAAAAAAAAAAAAAAAAAAAAGUUUAACAACAACAGAAGUGGUCACAGUCCCUACUUACAGAUCUUACCUUCAGUAUUCGGAGGAUCAUUUUUGUUAUGGGAAAGGCUUGGUCCAGUCGAAUGACUUCGGCCCAGACCAAAUUUUGGUUUGAAGUUUCUCAAAGUUGAGAUUUAUUUGGUUUUUGACCUUAGAUUGAAUCGGCUCUAACAGGGCACUGUCUUGAUCUGCUUCAGAAGGGCAGAUUAUAUGCACUGGAGUGAAGAGUGUUUAUGUCCCUGUAAAAGUACACUUUCAGCACUAUAUAAAUAGCACGUUUACAAUGCUGCAUUUCCUCAGCUCACAUGUGAAGUUCCUUCUCAGUAACUUACAAUCACAUGGUGUGCCUUCUCUUCCUAUUCUUCUCGCUUUUUUUUUUUUUUUAAUUUUGUUUUGUUUUGUUUUAAGCUAUGUCCUUGACUCUUGAAGGCACACAUCCUGGAUUUUAAUGCUAUCUCACCACAUCACAUUUUUAAGGGCUUUAUUCCCUUUGCCAAACUAGCCAAGUCGCCUUGCUUAACCUAGCAGGGUAUGCCAGGGAGGGCUGGGCACGAUGUUGUAAGCCAGAGCCUGGUGCUACACAAAGGACACCCCACGCCCAGCGCAGCCCUGGGAACCAAGCUGCCCGGUGGUGGUCCCAGAGCCAUGGUAUGUGCAAGGCCAGGCGCUUGGUUAUGCCAGCUGCCUUUCAGCAGCACACCAUGGUGGGUUUGGGGCUUCUAGGCAUGUUAAAUAACUUGCAAAAAUUUGGCAUAAAAAAAGGGUUUGGCUCAGAUGAGAUGCAUUCCCUUAGCGAACGAGAAAAGUGCUGAUGCUAUGGCUCCUAAUGCUGGAGCUCCUGUACAGAGCUGUGUACCAAGUUCCAGUCAAGAAUGACCACGGUACUGAAGCAGUACAUACUGAGCAACACCAAAGAGGGACCAAGUUGAAGAUGACCUGCAGAUGUUCUUAGGCUUCAAAAGGGAAGGGGAAAAAAAGAGAGAGCCCAAACCUCCAGCCAUUUCCCUCUUAAUGUCAUCAUUGUUUUCAAUCUGUUUUUCUCAGUAAAAUUGUUUACUUUUUCCUCUAGGGCUCCAGUUGCAUAACCACAUACUUCCUUACUGUCUUUGCAGGGCAAUUUCAUGUCUAAUUAAAGAAUUCACAUAAACCUUGCUCCCCCCCCCCCCCCUCCAUAAGAGAUUAAAAUGGCCAUAGACUUUAAUACACUACACAAGUUUGUCUGCACAUGGUGAAAUGUGUACACCCUGACUGCAGCCCCACUUGGCCAUUAGGUUGCCUCCCCCGAUGUAAUGUGGUUGUGUUCCGUGGCACUGCUCCUGUGGCUCCGUGUAAGCAAGCUAGGAGAAGACGCCAUCUCCUUCGGUUUGGGGCAGCACCAGCUGGACUGCUCCGUGUGAGAUAGGCCCGCGGGCUGCGGCAAGGAGGGAGCAGAGGGAUGUCGGACGUAUGGGCGUCAGGUGAGAGCUCAGAAGGGCCUCGUGUCUGGGCAGCACCAGCUGCCCCCUGGCCUUGACACGAUGCUACGGGUAGCUAAAAGGAAGGAGAGCGCUGCUGGUGUCAGAAGGCAGUAGGGAAUCAGCGCUGCCCAUACGGUCGCCUGCGUGUAUCGCAGGAGAGGUGCGUCAUCCCACAGCCCAUGCUGCGCUCCCCUGGGUUACCCUGGGCUGGGCACCGCAGCAGCAGUGGGUGCACGGCCGGUCGGGCUGCUGCCCGAGGCCUCCCCGCGCUGCAGCGAGCUGCGAGCGCUCCCCCGGCACGACGCGUGCCCAGCCUGUGAGCUACUUCACCGGCUCCAUCCCGGUGUGUGGCCGUAGUAUGAGUUACGAUAGCAGCAGAAUUCAUUUCAACUACGGCUGAGGGCGGGGGGAGGUUCUGCUUUAACACGCGAUCCUAUGGGGGCGGUGUCUCCGCCCGCCGCGGGUUGUGUGGCACGGCCGAGGUUGGCA
ensembl:lncRNA